rnacentral:rRNA from 1 species
AGCGGCGGACGGGUGAGUAACACUUAGGAAUCUACCUAGUAGUGGGGGAUAGCUCGGGGAAACUCGAAUUAAUACCGCAUACGACCUACGGGAGAAAGGGGGCAACUCGUUGCUCUCGCUAUUAGAUGAGCCUAAGUCGGAUUAGCUAGUUGGUGGGGUAAAGGCCUACCAAGGCGACGAUCUGUAGCUGGUCUGAGAGGAUGAUCAGCCACACCGGGACUGAGACACGGCCCGGACUCCUACGGGAGGCAGCAGUGGGGAAUAUUGGACAAUGGGGGCAACCCUGAUCCAGCCAUGCCGCGUGUGUGAAGAAGGCCUUUUGGUUGUAAAGCACUUUAAGCAGUGAAGAAGACCUAACGGUUAAUACCCGUUAGCGAUGACAUUAGCUGCAGAAUAAGCACCGGCUAACUCUGUGCCAGCAGCCGCGGUAAUACAGAGGGUGCAAGCGUUAAUCGGAAUUACUGGGCGUAAAGCGAGCGUAGGUGGCUUGAUAAGUCAGAUGUGAAAUCCCCGGGCUUAACCUGGGAACUGCAUCUGAUACUGUUAGGCUAGAAUAGGUGAGAGGAAGGUAGAAUUCCAGGUGUAGCGGUGAAAUGCGUAGAGAUCUGGAGGAAUACCGAUGGCGAAGGCAGCCUUCUGGCAUCAUAUUGACACUGAGGUUCGAAAGCGUGGGUAGCAAACAGGAUUAGAUACCCUGGUAGUCCACGCCGA